UACGGGGGGGGCAAGCGUUGUUCGGAAUUACUGGGCGUAAAGGGCUCGUAGGUGGUCAACUAAGUCGGACGUGAAAUCCCUCGGCUUAACCGGGGAACUGCGUCCGAUACUGGAUGACUUGAGUUCGGGAGAGGGAUGCGGAAUUCCAGGUGUAGCGGUGAAAUGCGUAGAUAUCUGGAGGAACACCGGUGGCGAAGGCGGCAUCCUGGACCGACGCUGACGCUGAGGAGCGAAAGCCAGGGGAGCAAACGGG
rnacentral:rRNA from 1 species